GAUGAAGAACGCAGCGAAAUGCGAUAAGUAGUGUGAAUUGCAGAAUUCAGUGAAUCAUCGAAUCUUUGAACGCACAUUGCGCCCCUUGGUAUUCCAUGGGGCAUGCCUGUUCGAGCGUCAUCUACAACCCUCAAGCCCUGCUUGGUGUUGGGCGUCUGUCCCGCCCCCGCGCGCGGACUCGCCCCAAAUCCAUUGGCGGCGGCCCUUGCCUCCCUCUCGCGCAGCACAUUGCGCUUCUCGAGGCGUCGCGGGCCGCGCUCCACGAAGCACGCAAACCAGUCUUUGACCUCGGAUCAGGUAGGGAUACCCGCUGAACUUAAGCAUAUCAUAAGCGGAGGA
rnacentral:misc_RNA from 1 species